rnacentral:rRNA from 1 species
GACGAACGCUGGCGGCGUGCUUAACACAUGCAAGUCGAACGGAAAGGCCCUGCUUUUGUGGGGUGCUCGAGUGGCGAACGGGUGAGUAACACGUGAGUAACCUGCUCUUGACUUUGGGAUAACUUCAGGAAACUGGGGCUAAUACCGGAUAGGAUCUCCUGCUGCAUGGUGGGGGUUGGAAAGUUUCGGCGGUUGGGGAUGGACUCGCGGCUUAUCAGCUUGUUGGUGGGGUAGUGGCUUACCAAGGCUUUGACGGGUAGCCGGCCUGAGAGGGUGACCGGGCACCUUGGGACUGAGGGACGCACCAGAGGCGUACGGGGGACAGCAGUGGGGAAUCUGGCCCAGUGGGAGGGAGCCUGAUGCAGAGACGCCGCGUGCGGGAUGACGGCCUUCUGGUUGUGAACCGCAUUCGCCUGUGACGAAGCGUGAGUGACGGUAAUGGGUAAAGAAGCACCGGCUAACUACGUG